GGGCUUAACUUGGGUGCUGCAUUUCAAACUGGAUAUCUAGAGUGCGGGAGAGGAGAAUGGAAUUCCUAGUGUAGCGGUGAAAUGCGUAGAGAUUAGGAAGAACACCAGUGGCGAAGGCGAUUCUCUGGACCGUAACUGACGCUGAGGCAUGAAAGCGUGGGUAGCAAACAGGAUUAGAUACCCUGGUAGUCCACGCCGUAAACGAUGAGUACUAGGUGUAGGAGGUAUCGACCCCUUCUGUGCCGCAGUUAACACAAUAAGUACUCCGCCUGGGAAGUACGAUCGCAAGAUUAAAACUCAAAGGAAUUGACGGGGGCCCGCACAAGCAGCGGAGCAUGUGGUUUAAUUCGAAGCAACGCGAAGAACCUUACCUGGACUUGACAUCCCCUGAAUAGUGCAGAGAUGCAUGAAGCCCUUCGGGGCAGGGAGACAGGUGGUGCAUGGUUGUCGUCAGCUCGUGUCGUGAGAUGUUAGGUUAAGUCCUGCAACGAGCGCAACCCUUAUCAUUAGUUGCUACCAUUAAGUUGAGCACUCUAGUGAGACUGCCCGGGUUAACCGGGAGGAAGGUGGGGAUGACGUCAAAUCAUCAUGCCCCUUAUGUCCAGGGCUACACACGUGCUACAAUGGUGGGUACAGAGAGAUGCAAGACCGCGAGGUGGAGCAAAACUCAAAAACCCAUCCCAGUUCGGAUUGUAGGCUGCAACUCGCCUACAUGAAGCCGGAGUUGCUAGUAAUCGGAGAUCAGCAUGCUCCGGUGAAUACGUU
rnacentral:rRNA from 1 species